AGCAAGUCUGAAAGCAGUGGUGUUUACAACUACAUAUAUUGUCACUGAUAAUACUUGAUCAUAACUGGUUAACUUUCUCCAUUCCCACUGCUUCACUUGACUAGCCUUUA
ensembl:misc_RNA Y_RNA Y RNA